GUACGCGUCUUUGGACCGCUUCCUGGCCUGGCGCCAUGGCCGCUGCUCUCGUGCGGGCGUCAAGCGAGAGUGUAACGCGGGAGAAGGGUGCUGUUCUUUGGAUUUGGGUGGCUGUUCUUCAUGCGAAAACUCUUCAAGGAUUAUGAGGUGCGACAGUAUGUGGUCCAGGUGAUCUUCUCCGUGACUUUUGCUUUCUCUUGUACCAUGUUUGAACUCAUCAUCUUUGAGAUUUUGGGGGUGCUGAACAGCAGCUCUCGAUAUUUUCACUGGAAGCUGAACCUGUGUGUCAUUUUGCUCAUCCUGGUCUUCAUGGUACCCUUCUACAUUGGUUACUUCGUUGUGAGCAAUAUCAGAUUAUUGCACAGACAGAAACUGCUUUUUGCAUGUGUUCUGUGGCUGACAUUCAUGUAUUUCUUCUGGAAGUUGGGGGAUCCAUUUCCUAUCCUCAGCCCGAAACAUGGAAUCCUCUCUAUAGAACAACUCAUCAGCCGUGUGGGUGUGAUUGGGGUGACGCUCAUGGCUUUGCUGUCAGGAUUUGGGGCCGUCAACUGUCCAUACACUUACAUGUCCUACUUUCUCAGGAAUGUGACAGAUGCAGAUAUUCUGGCUUUGGAGCGACGACUUCUUCAGACUAUGGACAUGAUUGUUAGCAAGAAAAAAAGGAUAGCAGUGGCUCACAGGACAAUGUUCCAGAGAGGAGAAGUGCAUAACAAACCCACUGGUUUCUGGGGAAUGAUAAAAAGUGUUACAACAUCUGUUGCAGGCAGUGAAAAUCUGUCCCUUAUCCAGCAAGAAGUGGAUGCCCUAGAAGAGCUGAGUCGGCAGCUUUUUCUGGAAACUGCUGACUUGCAUGCCACAAAGGAGAGAAUAGAGUACUCCAAAACUUUCCAGGGAAAAUACUUUAAUUUUUUGGGUUAUUUUUUCUCCAUCUAUUGUGUCUGGAAAAUCUUCAUGGCAACCAUCAAUAUUGUAUUUGACCGUGUGGGGAAGACUGAUCCAGUCACAAGAGGAAUUGAGAUCACUGUAAAUUAUCUGGGAAUCCAGUUUGAUGUGAAAUUCUGGUCUCAGCACAUUUCCUUUAUUCUUGUUGGAAUAAUCAUUGUUACCUCUAUCAGAGGAUUGUUAAUCACACUUACAAAGUUCUUCUAUGCCAUUUCCAGCAGCAAGUCCUCCAAUGUUAUUGUUCUGCUUUUAGCACAGAUAAUGGGCAUGUACUUUGUGUCAUCAGUGCUUCUGAUUCGGAUGAGUAUGCCUCUAGAGUAUCGCACUAUUAUUACAGAAGUCCUGGGAGAGCUCCAGUUCAACUUUUAUCAUCGUUGGUUUGAUGUGAUAUUCCUAGUUAGUGCACUGUCCAGUAUCCUCUUUCUCUAUUUAGCACACAAACAAGCCCCAGAAAAGCAUAUGGCCCUUUAAGUAUGAACUGCAGUCACACUCUGCCCUCUGUCCUUUCAACUGCACUGCUGUAACUCCUGUGGACUGCAAGACUUGAAGAGAACCAGGACUAUUCUCUGUGUUCCAGCAGUGUAGCUGGCUCUUUGAACUUCCACACAUGUCAUCAUCAAGCUCUGUGGCUCGUUUUGUUAAGGUGCCACAGCUUGAAGGAAAGGAGAUGCGCAUAUUUAAUGUGAGAUGGUUCAUUGCCAAGGAAUAAGGGCAAUCCUUGGUACACCACUAUCUAGGGGCAUUGGAACUUGCAUAGUAGGCUGUAUGAGGGAAAAGGAAAAUCUAUAUUCUGAAGUAAAGAAAGAAGCUUUCCUGCCUCUUAACACUAAUCUCAAACAGGAGGAUAUUGUGUGCAGAAGAUGACUCUGAUCGCAGGGUUCCUCGCUAGGGCUGGAGGCAGCAGCCCUGCUCUGGUGUUCCAAAUGGCAGCUCUGGCAAUGCUGGUAUCAGAACAUGGCAUGCUGGAAAUCAUUUACGCACCCACCACAAAAUACCUGGAAGAAGGAGACACCCUGUGUUUGAAUUGCCACAUCAAGCACCAACAGGACCAGUCGUCACAAAUGGAGGCUCACUGGUAUAAGAAAGCAAAGCAGCAAAACGAGACUGGGUUUGGAAAGGAGAUGGAAAGCUUGCACCUCGCACAAAACUCAGACCCCAAGGCGAAAGUCACGUCCUCUCUGCUUCUGACGAUUCGGAAUGUCAGCCAGUCAGACAGUGGCCUCUACCAGUGCAGGGCCAAAAUUAACACUACUGUCCUAACUGCUGUGGGCCACUUCAUUAGAGUGAACGUUACAGAGAGGACUGAGCGUGACCUGGAAUGGAACAAAGCUCUGAGGGUGGAUUCCGAGCUGGAGAAGAUGUGGGCUGUGGUCAUGAUAACCUGGAUAACUCUGUAUGUCAAAGGACUCAUGCUGUGAAGAUUCUGUUUGUGAAAUCUGAGUUGCUUUACUGGAACAAGAUAAUAUUCCUGAGAUGCUGUGAGAACAACUUCAUUUUAUUGCGCAUGAUCGAUGUCUGGGAUUCACACUGUGUUUCACGGCACACUGAGAUUUCGGGGGACUUACCUUGGACUUCCUGGUACUGAUUCAUUGGGAUUAUUCACUUCACCUGUUAACCCCAUCUACCUCCUAGGCAGAGAGGAAGAAUUUCUUCAUGCCUUUUCUAGUCCUAGAGUUGAAAUUCUCUUGCAUCUGAUGUCAGUUCUUCCAGGUUUUGCCCUCAUUGAGGCAACAGAUUUCUCAGUGUUGUGCUCUUUGAAAUCGAGAUGGUUUCUUUCCAGCUGUACUUUCUGGCACCUGCCUCCCAUGCGGGGAGGUUUGCCCUUUCUGCUACAGCUCUCUCUGCAAAGAAGGAUUUCCUGGGUUCUUCUCUCCUCUAAAAUGUCUUCUGACAUAUUUCUGGUUUAUCCUCUGCGUGCUUCAGUUUGCUCUGAGAAAGCUGGAGGCCCUUAUUCGACUCUCAGCAGCAUGAGCUCAGUGGGGGGAUGCACAAGAAGCAGAAAUCAAGUCAAUCUCACUGUUCUGCAAACAGAAACCAAACCCAGGCACAAUGUUUUACCCUAACUGUGGGGUGUUCCGAAAGGCUAUUCUGUCCACUGUCUUUUAACAGUGGUGUGUCCCUCUCCCCAUUUCCAUGUGUUUAUGUAAAUUUGCCUUUUGUGUAAGGGGCUCUCUCUUAGGACUUCAUAUCUGGUACCAAGUGACAAAAGGAAGAGGGUUACAUCUGCAUCUGUUUCUGUGGUUACUAAAGCUUGUCUGAUGAGCGCUUCUGACCUCUGCCAUGUUUUUCACACUUGGGCACGU